UGCUUAGAUCCGUCGCAGCUGCUCUCCAAAUGUCAGCGCCAGUGCUGGGCAAAGCUUGAAACCCACCAGGCUUCAGGAGAGCCAUUCUCACCCACAUUUUCCCCCGAGCACUCUUAGGAACCUGGCAACAGGUAACGUGGCAACCUUUGACUUCUUAAAAGGCGAGUGGGAUAAUUUCAGGGAACAAACGGAUUGUUUUCGAGCCAGCUGCGUCUCUCCUAACUGCCCCCGCAUCCAACCUUCUCCCUCCCAAUAGAGUCUGGGAAAACAAAUUUAAGUGCUGAAGGCUGUCCCGCUCUUGUGCGUCCCCUGGUGGCCAACAUCGGGACAACACGCACGUGUUCGGAACCCCUCCGCAGUUCCUGCUGGACACAGACAAGACCGCCUCCAUAAACCCGGCUCAGAAACACCCAUUGUUCAACAGCCUCCAUUAGCAACAAGCUACCGCCACCCCAAGGCUUUGCAAAAGAAAGGAUUUGGUUGGAGGAAGCCUGGGACUGGGGAGGCUGUGAAAAGAGACAGGAGAGGCGUCCUUUGAGCCUCCGUUCCAGAGAAGAGCGCCGCAGAAUAAACUUCGAGGUGUUUAAUCUUUUAGUUUCCUUAAGAAAUGCCUGGAAGAGCCCAAGACCAGUGAUUGCGAACUCUAAAUUGGAUGUCAGCUCAGUGCAGAAACUUCUGUCAGCUGAAGUUACUAAAUAGACUGUCUCUGCCUAAUGUACAUAUUCUGAGCCUCGUAAAACCCUAUACCACCGCAGCAAAGCACGGCUGAAUUCUUUACUAGACGUUGUUCUAAGUAGUCCUCCAACCUACACCUGUACACAUUUAUUUUGGUCCCUAUCUUAAUAAAGCUCAGAAAUUCCA